CAGCCGCCACGGGAAUACGAAGGGUGCAAGCGUUACUCGGAAUUACUGGGCGUAAAGCGUGCGUAGGUGGUGGUUUAAGUCCGUUGUGAAAGCCCUGGGCUCAACCUGGGAAUUGCAGUGGAUACUGGGUCACUAGAGUGUGGUAGAGGAUAGUGGAAUUUCCGGUGUAGCAGUGAAAUGCGUAGAGAUCGGAAGGAACAUCUGUGGCGAAGGCGGCUCACUGGUCCGGUACUGACGCUGAGGUGCGAAAGCGUGGGGAGCAAGCAGGAUUAGAUACCCCCGUAGUCCCUGUCUCUUAUAC
rnacentral:rRNA from 1 species